UUUUAAAUGGCCGCAGUAUUUUGACUGUGCAAAGGUAGCAUAAUCAUUAGUUUUUUAAUUAAAAGCUUGUAUGAAAGGCUGGACGAGGUAAAAUCUGUCUCUAUUUAAAUUAUAGUAGAAUUUAACUUUUAAGUUAAAAGGCUUAAAUAUUAUUAAAAGACGAGAAGACCCUAUAGAUCUUUAUAGUUUAUUAAAUUAAAUUAAUUUAGAAAUAUUAAUGUUUUAUUUAAUUAAAUUAUUUUAUUGGGGUAAUAAAAAGAUUGAGUUAAUUCUUUUUUACAAUAAACAUUAAUUUAUGAAUAUUAAUGAUCCAGUUUUACUGAUUAUAAGAUUAAGUUACCUUAGGGAUAACAGCGUAAUUUUUUUAGAGAGUUCAUAUCGAUAAAAAAGUUUGCGACCUCGAUGUUGGAUUAAAGAUUAUUUUAGGUGUAGAAGCUUAAUAAUUUUGGUCUGUUCGACCAUUAAAUCUUUACAUGAUCUGAGUUCAGACCGGCGUAAGCCAGGUCGGUUUCUAUCUUUAAUAAAAUAAAAUAUUUUAGUACGAAAGGACCGAAUAUUUGAUAUAUUUAUAUUUAAUUUAUUGAAUAUUA
rnacentral:rRNA from 1 species